CACGAAGUUGGAUUCGCUAGUAAUCNCGCAUCAGCCAUGGCGCGGUGAAUACGUUCCCGGGCCUUGUACACACCGCCCGUCAAACCAUGAGAGCUGGAAACACCCGAAGCUGGUAGCCUAACCGUAAGGAGGGCGCCAUUGAAGGUGGGGCUAGUGAUUAGGGUUAAGUCGUAACAAGGUAAC
rnacentral:rRNA from 1 species